GAAUCACUGGCGUAGGGGUUUGAGCAUUAGACUAGGACACUGGGAGACCAGGGUUCGAAUCCCUACUGAGCCA